ACGUAGGGUGCGAGCGUUAAUCGGAAUUACUGGGCGUAAAGCGUGCGCAGGCGGUUUUGUAAGCCAGAUGUGAAAUCCCCGGGCUUAACCUGGGAAUGGCAUUUGGGACUGCAAGGCUGGAGUUUGGCAGAGGAGACUGGAAUUCCUGGUGUAGCAGUGAAAUGCGUAGAUAUCGGAAGGAACAUCAGUGGCGAAGGCGACACCCUGGACCGAUACUGACACUGAGGCGCGAAAGCGUGGGUAGCGAACAGGA
rnacentral:rRNA from 1 species